GACAGAGGGUGCAAACGUUGCUCGGAAUCACUGGGCGUAAAGGGCGUGUAGGCGGGAAGGAAAGUCAGAUGUGAAAUCCCUGGGCUCAACCCAGGAACUGCAUUUGAAACUCCUUUUCUUGAGUGUCGGAGAGGAAAGCGGAAUUCCUGGUGUAGAGGUGAAAUUCGUCGAUAUCAGGAGGAACACCGGUGGCGAAGGCGGCUUUCUGGACGACAACUGACGCUGAGACGCGAAAGCGUGGGGAGCAAACAGG
rnacentral:rRNA from 1 species